GUGGGGAGUUUUGCGCAAUGGGGGAAACCCUGACGCAGCGACGCCGCGUGGGCGAUGAAGGCCUUCGGGUCGUAAAGCCCUGUCAAGCGGGACGAAACGUAGGGGUCCUAAUACGACCUCUGCCUGACGGUACCGCUGGAGGAAGCCCCGGCCAACUCCGUGCCAGCAGCCGCGGUAAUACGGAGGGGGCGAGCGUUAUUCGGAAUUAUUGGGCGUAAAGGGCGUGUAGGCGGCUUCGUAUGUCUUCUGUGAAAGCCCUCGGCUUAACCGAGGAACUGCAGGGGAAACUGCGGAGCUCGAGUCCGGGAGAGGAGAGCGGAAUUCCCAGUGUAGCGGUGAAAUGCGUAGAUAUUGGGAGGAACACCGGUGGCGAAGGCGGCUCUCUGGACCGGCACUGACGCUGAGACGCGAAAGCUAGGGGAGCAAACGGGAUUAGAUACCCUUGUAGUCC
rnacentral:rRNA from 1 species